rnacentral:tRNA from 1 species
GGGGGAUUAGAUUAAGUAGAUCAAGUAGCCUUCAAAGUUACCAGGUGUUGGUUCGAAUCCAGCCUCCCUUG